rnacentral:tRNA from 1 species
UGGGAGAUAGUUCAACGGCAGAACAGUGGACUUUGGAUCCAUUAAUCCUGGUUCGAAUCCAGGUCUCCCAG